rnacentral:rRNA from 1 species
GACGAACGCUGGCGGCGUGCUUAACACAUGCAAGUCGAACGUGAUUUUUGUGGAAAUUCUUUCGGGAAUGGAAAUGAAAUGAAAGUGGCGAACGGGUGAGUAACACGUGAGCAACCUACCUUACACAGGGGGAUAGCCGUUGGAAACGACGAUUAAUACCGCAUGAGACCACAGAAUCGCAUGAUAUAGGGGUCAAAGAUUUAUCGGUGUAAGAAGGGCUCGCGUCUGAUUAGCUAGUUGGAAGGGUAAAGGCCUACCAAGGCGACGAUCAGUAGCCGGUCUGAGAGGAUGAACGGCCACAUUGGAACUGAGACACGGUCCAAACUCCUACGGGAAGCAGCAGUGGGGAAUAUUGCACAAUGGGGGGAACCCUGAUGCAGCGACGCCGCGUGAGCGAAGAAGGUUUUCGAAUCGUAAAGCUCUGUCCUAUGAGAAGAUAAUGACGGUAUCAUAGGAGGAAGCCCCGGCUAAAUACGUG